rnacentral:misc_RNA from 1 species
UUUCCGUAGGUGAACCUGCGGAAGGAUCAUUAAUGUGUUUGGGCCUCACGGCUCUUCAUUCCGACGCUGUGCGCCUUCGGGCUGCACGCUGAGGGAGCAUAUAUCCACCCCUGUGCACACACACGGUGGCGAGCUGCGUAACGGCUCGCCGCUGAUCUUUACACACGUCUAAAAGUCAUUGUAUGUUUAUUUGAGAUAAAAACACAACUUUCAGCAACGGAUCUCUUGGCUCUC